rnacentral:rRNA from 1 species
AGAGUUUGAUCCUGGCUCAGGAUGAACGCUAGCGAUAGGCCUAACACAUGCAAGUCGAGGGGCAGCAUAGGGUAGCAAUACUUUGAUGGCGACCGGCGCACGGGUGAGUAACACGUAUGCAACCUACCUACAACAGGGGAAUAACCCGGAGAAAUUCGGACUAAUACCCCAUAAUACAGGGAUGCCGCAUGGCAAUAUUUGUUAAAGAUUUAUCGGUUGUAGAUGGGCAUGCGUUCCAUUAGAUAGUUGGUAAGGUAACGGCUUACCAAGUCAGCGAUGGAUAGGGAAACUGAGAGGUUUAUCCCCCACACUGGAACUGAGACACGGACCAGACUCCUACGGGAGGCAGCAGUGAGGAAUAUUGGUCAAUGGACGAGAGUCUGAACCAGCCAAAUCGCGUGAAGGAAGACUGCCUUAUGGGUUGUAAACUUCUUUUAUACAGGAAUAAAAAGAGGGAUGUAUCCCUUAUUGCAUGUACUGUAUGAAUAAGCAUCGGCUAACUCCGUGCCAGCAGCCGCGGUAAUACGGAGGAUGCGAGCGUUAUCCGGAUUUAUUGGGUUUAAAGGGUGCGCA